CGUGGGUGGGUGUGUGGCUCUAUCAGAUUACACAAGAGAGCCCACACUGCAAGAAUUACAGGGGAUCUUUGGUGGUGGUUGAGUAACUGUCUGCAGAGGGUGGAUCCAGCUCCUCAUUCAAACGCCACAUAGAAGCCACACGUGAGGCUCUGCCUCUUGGCUUGGUUUGCUGACAAGCGUCUUGUCUGUAGGUCAGAGGGUGACUGCAGGCGACUGGGCAGCACCUAUUUAUCUGGCUGGGAGUGCAUCACAUGUGAGAAAGUAUGUGCUGAAGUGUGUCACGUACAAAUGAACAUGAUUUAUGUCUCAAUAUUUCUGGUUUGAAUCAUUUUACAGUAAUACAAGAUGAGGGCUCAGCUUUUGAUUUCUCGCUGCCAGCGGAGAGGACCAGGCGCACCUCCUGACUCCCAUGUCGUGGUUCUUCAGGGCUCCCAUGGCUUGGGACUCCGCGUCCUCCUGGGCAAAGGGGCCGUGUUCACGGCUAGCUGUGAACUGGAAGGCCAGACUGAGUUUCGAGGAGAGCAUAACCCUUUCUACCGCACAUCCUGGCUAACCCUGCCGCCUGGCUGCGACYGCAACAUACCUUUCGCUCCUGCUAAUGCAGCACUGCGGAGCUGCCUGCAGGAGAGGGGCCAAGGUCCUGCUCAGGAGCUCGUCCAGGCCUGA
rnacentral:lncRNA from 1 species